rnacentral:rRNA from 1 species
UACAGAGGGGGCAAGCGUUGUUCGGAAUUACUGGGCGUAAAGGGCGCGUAGGCGGCCUCUUAAGUCGAACGUGAAAUCCCUGGGCUCAACCCAGGAACUGCGUCCGAUACUGGUUGGCUUGAAUCCGGGAGAGGGAUGUGGAAUUCCAGGUGUAGCGGUGAAAUGCGUAGAUAUCUGGAGGAAUACCGGUGGCGAAGGCGGCAUCCUGGACCGGCAUUGACGCUGAGGAGCGAAAAGCUGAGGGGAGCAAACGGGGAU